CAACUUCACCCAGAAACGAGAGAUGCAAAUUAAAAACUGGAACGAUACAGAGAUUAGCAUGGCCCCUGCGCAAGCAUGACACGCAAAUUCGUGAAGCGUUCCAUAUUUUU
rfam:Pteropus alecto contig15888, whole genome shotgun sequence.